rnacentral:misc_RNA from 1 species
GAUGAAGAACGUAGCGAAAUGCGAUAAGUAAUGUGAAUUGCAGAAUUCAGUGAAUCAUCGAAUCUUUGAACGCACAUUGCGCCCGCCAGUAUUCUGGCGGGCAUGCCUGUUCGAGCGUCAUUUCAACCAUCAAGCCCCCGGCUUGUGUUGGGGACCUGCGGCUGCCGCAGGCCCUGAAAAGCAGUGGCGGGCUCGCUGUCACACCGAGCGUAGUAGAUCUCAUCUCGCUCAGGGCGUGCUGCGGGUUCCGGCCAUCAAACCACCUUCAUAACCCAAGGUUGACCUCGGAUCAGGUAGGAAGACCCGCUGAACUUAAGCAUAUCAAUAAGCGGAGGA